ensembl:snRNA U6 U6 spliceosomal RNA
GUGUUUGCUUGAGCAGCACAUACAUUAAACUUUUGCAAUACAGAGAUUAGCAUAACCCCUGCAUAAGUUGAUAGGCAUAUGCAAAUGUGAAGCAUUUCAUAUUUUU